CUGAAGGGAACACUUCACUAUCCUUCAUGCGUUCCCGGUGGAUUGCAGCCCCAUACCUCUAUGGACUCAAAACACCAUAAUGGCUCAGGGGGAGCCAAAUGCAGGAUUACAUGAUAGGCCAGAAGCUGUGUCAUGGUCUACCAGGCCAGGUUGAAAGAACUCAGCAGUCUCCUGAUCUUCAAGCCAAUUAGCUCAAGAGAUAGUUCUACAGAAAUCUGCACUGUCUUUUCAAAUGAGAAAGGCUUGCAGAAAACUCAGACUCGCCACUGCCUAACCCAUUGGCUCUCACCAGAAGUGAGCAAACGGAACUCUUGAUCACUAAUUUUGGGGAAAGCCAGCUACUAUGUCUUGAGGAUAUUCAGGCCACCUGUGAGGAGGCACAUGUGAGAAAGAAGGGAGGCCUCUGGAUAGCAACUAAUGAGGAACUGAGACCUGCCAACAGCCAAAUGAGUGAGCUUCAAAAUGGAUUCUCCACCCCCAGUCGUGAGUUGAUGUGACUGCACCUGUUGCAACAGCUUGACUGCAGCUUGAAACCAUGAGCUAAAACCAUCCAGCUAAGAUGCUCCCCAAUUCCUGUACUUUAGAAACUGUGAGAGCAAAUAAAUGUUUGUUGUUUCAAA